CCGUCUCGGAUUCGCCAGAGAUGGCUUAGUGCUCGAAAGAGAACCGUAACACAGGUGCUGCAUGGCUGUCGUCAGCUCGUGUCGUGAGAUGUUGGGUUAAGUCCCGCAACGAGCGCAACCCUUGUCAUUAGUUGCUACAUUCAGUUGGGCACUCUAAUGAGACUGCCGGUGACAAACCGGAGGAAGGUGGGGAUGACGUCAAGUCCUCAUGGCCCUUAUAGGUGGGGCUACACACGUCAUACAAUGGCUGGUACAAAGGGUUGCCAACCCGCGAGGGGGAGCUAAUCCCAUAAAACCAGUCGUAGUCCGGAUCGCAGUCUGCAACUCGACUGCGUGAAGUCGGAAUCGCUAGUAAUCGUGGAUCAGAAUGUCACGGUGAAUACGUUCCCGGGUCUUGUACACACCGAAUAACUUAUUCCCGUGAAUUCUGAUCUCCAUUACUAACAAUUCCAUUCCCC
rnacentral:rRNA from 1 species